rnacentral:rRNA from 1 species
AUGAACGCUAGCUACAGGCUUAACACAUGCAAGUCGAGGGGCAGCAUUUUAGUUUGCUUGCAAACUAAAGAUGGCGACCGGCGCACGGGUGAGUAACACGUAUCCAACCUGCCGAUAACUCGGGGAUAGCCUUUCGAAAGAAAGAUUAAUAUCCGAUAGUAUAUUAAAACCGCAUGGUUUUACUAUUAAAGAAUUUCGGUUAUCGAUGGGGAUGCGUUCCAUUAGUUUGUUGGCGGGGUAACGGCCCACCAAGACUACGAUGGAUAGGGGUUCUGAGAGGAAGGUCCCCCACAUUGGAACUGAGACACGGUCCAAACUCCUACGGGAGGCAGCAGUGAGGAAUAUUGGUCAAUGGACGAGAGUCUGAACCAGCCAAGUAGCGUGAAGGAUGACUGCCCUAUGGGUUGUAAACUUCUUUUAUAUGGGAAUAAAGUAUUCCACGUGUGGAAUUUUGUAUGUACCAUAUGAAUAAGGAUCGGCUAACUCCGUGCCAGCAGCCGCGGUAAUACGGAGGAUCCGAGCGUUAUCCGGAUUUAUUGGGUUUAAAGGGAGCGUAGGUGGAUUGUUAAGUCAGUUGUGAAAGUUUGCGGCUCAACCGUAAAAUUGCAGUUGAAACUGGCAGUCUUGAGUACAGUAGAGGUGGGCGGAAUUCGUGGUGUAGCGGUGAAAUGCUUAGAUAUCACGAAGAACUCCGAUUGCGAAGGCAGCUCACUAGACUGCAACUGACACUGAUGCUCGAAAGUGUGGGUAUCAAACAGGAUUAGAUACCCUGGUAGUCCACGCCGUAAACGAUGAGUGCUAAGUGUUAGGGGGUUUCCGCCCCUUAGUGCUGCAGCUACCGCAUUAAGCACUCCGCCUGGGGAGUACGGCCGCAAGGUUGAAACUCAAAGGAAUUGACGGGGGCCCGCACAAGCGGUGGAGCAUGUGGUUUAAUUCGAAGCAACGCGAAGAACCUUACCAGGGCUUGACAUAUAGAUGAAUAACUAAGAGAUUAGUUAGUCCUUCGGGACAUCUAUACAGGUGGUGCAUGGUUGUCGUCAGCUCGUGCCGUGAGGUGUCGGCUUAAGUGCCAUAACGAGCGCAACCCUUAUCUUUAGUUACUAACAGGUCAUGCUGAGGACUCUAGAGAGACUGCCGUCGUAAGAUGUGAGGAAGGUGGGGAUGACGUCAAAUCAGCACGGCCCUUACGUCCGGGGCUACACACGUGUUACAAUGGGGGGUACAGAAGGCAGCUACCUGGUGACAGGAUGCUAAUCCCAAAAACCUCUCUCAGUUCGGAUCGAAGUCUGCAACCCGACUUCGUGAAGCUGGAUUCGCUAGUAAUCGCGCAUCAGCCAUGGCGCGGUGAAUACGUUCCCGGGCCUUGUACACACCGCCCGUCAAGCCAUGAAAGCCGGGGGUACCUGAAGUACGUAACCGCAAGGAGCGUCCUAGGGUAAAACUGGUAAUUGGGGCU